rnacentral:rRNA from 1 species
UACGGAGGGUGCGAGCGUUAUCCGGAAUUACUGGGUUUAAAGGGUGCGUAGGCGGCCAUGUAAGUCAGGAGUGAAAGUUUGCGGCUCAACCGUAAAAUUGCUUUUGAUACUGCAUGGCUGGAAUCAGGAUGAGGUCAGCGGAAUGUGGCAUGUAGCGGUGAAAUGCAUAGAUAUGCCAUAGAACACCAAUUGCGAAGGCAGCUGGCUACACAAAUAUUGACACUGAGGCACGAAAGCGUGGGGAUCAAACAGG